rnacentral:rRNA from 1 species
CCUACGGGAGGCUGCAGUGAGGAAUAUUGGUCAAUGGACGAGAGUCUGAACCAGCCAAGUAGCGUGAAGGAUGACUGCCCUAUGGGUUGUAAACUUCUUUUAUAAAGGAAUAAAACGAGGCACGUGUGCCUUUUUGCAUGUACUUUAUGAAUAAGGAUCGGCUAACUCCGUGCCAGCAGCCGCGGUAAUACGGAGGAUCCGAGCGUUAUCCGGAUUUCUUGGGUUUAAAGGGAGCGUAGAUGGGUUGUUAAGUCAGUUGUGAAAGUUUGCGGCUCAACCGUAAAAUUGCAAUUGAUACUGGCAGUCUUGAGUACAGUUGAGGUAGGCGGAAUUCGUGGUGUAGCGGUGAAAUGCUUAGAUAUCACGAAGAACCCCGAUUGCGAAGGCAGCUUACUAAACUGUGACUGACAUUGAUGCUCGAAAGUGUGGGUAUCAAACUGGAUUAGAUACCCUUGUAGUC